rnacentral:rRNA from 1 species
AAUAAGCGGAGGAAAAGAAACCAACGGGGAUUGCCUCAGUAACGGCGAGUGAAGCGGCAACAGCUCAAAUUUGGAAUCUGGCCCGGGUCCGGGCCCGAGUUGUAAUUUGCAGAGGGUGCUUCGGGCACGGUACCGGCCUAAGUCCCUUGGAACAGGGCGUCGCAGAGGGUGAGAACCCCGUAUGUGGCCGGCCUCCACACCCACACGAAGCCCCUUCGACGAGUCGAGUUGUUUGGGAAUGCAGCUCAAAACGGGUGGUAAAUUCCAUCUAAAGCUAAAUACCGGCCAGAGACCGAUAGCGCACAAGUAGAGUGAUCGAAAGAUGAAAAGCACUUUGGAAAGAGAGUCAAACAGUACGUGAAAUUGUUGAAAGGGAAGCGCUUGCGACCAGACCUGCCCGGGGACGCUCAGCGGGGGGGUUUUCCCGCCGCGCACUCGUCCCCGACCAGGCCAGCAUCGGUUCGGGCGGCCGGAGAAAGGCCCCGGGAACGUGGCUCCCUUCCGGGGGGGCGUUACAGCCCGGGGCGCCAUACGGCCAGCCGUGGACCGAGGACCGCGCCCUGCUGCAAGGAUGCUGGCGUAAUGGUCGUCAGCGGCC